rnacentral:rRNA from 1 species
GAUGAACGCUGGCGGCGUGCCUAAUACAUGCAAGUCGAGCGAACGGACGAGAAGCUUGCUUCUCUGAUGUUAGCGGCGGACGGGUGAGUAACACGUGGAUAACCUACCUAUAAGACUGGGAUAACUUCGGGAAACCGGAGCUAAUACCGGAUAAUAUUUUGAACCGCAUGGUUCAAAAGUAAAAGACGGUCUUGCUGUCACUUAUAGAUGGAUCCGCGCUGCAUUAGCUAGUUGGUAAGGUAACGGCUUACCAAGGCAACGAUGCAUAGCCGACCUGAGAGGGUGAUCGGCCACACUAGAACUGAGACACGGUCCAGGCUCCUACGGGAGGCAGCAGUAGGGAAUCUUCCGCAAUGGGCGAAAGCCUGACGGAGCAACGCCGCGUGAGUGAUGAAGGUCUUCGGAUCGUAAAACUCUGUUAUUAGGGAAGAACAUAUGUGUAAGUAACUGUGCACAUCUUGACGGUACCUAAUCAGAAAGCCACGGCUAACUACGUG